CAAAGACGUAGAUUCUGCACCUUCAAAAAACUAGAAUUCAGGUCCUUCUAAACAAGUUUAGUUCGGUGCCACUGUAGAGUAUUAAGGACAAUUGAGGUAGUAGGAGUUCCUUUUAUUUCUUCGGCUUAUGUGAAAGGAUUACCAGCUGAACCACAAGAAAACAGAAAACAUGAAUCACUGUACACGACAAUCCCUCAAAACUAAGGAUUUCAUAGUAGUGUCAAUACUAUUCUGAGAAAUACUACGAAGUUGCAUUCAAUUUGAGGUCUCAUUUCUGUGCGCAUAGGAGUAAUUUGUCUGCAUGAAUCAGCUUCAUUCUCGUUUUCUUCUGGUGAUGAAAGAGCAAAAUGUUUCUCUUAGAGGAAUAGUUUGGGAAAUUGAACCCCCACGUUAAGCACAUGAUCUGAAA